ACAAGACAAGGAGACACGCCUUUUAAGUCCACUCCUUCAAAAACAAAUCCCUAGUAUAUCAUACACCAUUUUACAAUAAGGAUUCCGUGCUGAAGAAACAAACUGGAACAUACAGUUAGCAAAAAUAAAAUAAAAUGGAGCAUAAAAACUCUUGGAAGAUAAUCUAAAUUAUUCAUAUACAAACUAAUAAUUACCAGUUAUGUGCAUUUUCUAACUAAGGGCCCUACUAACUAUAGGAGGGUGUUUCCCUGAUAAUAUUC
rnacentral:lncRNA from 1 species